rnacentral:sRNA from 1 species
GCCGCGGCCGACCACUGGGCGUGGUUGCUGGUGCUCAGCUUCGUGUUUGGGUGCAAUGUUCUUAGGAUCCUCCUCCCGUCCUUCUCAUCCUUCAUGUCCAGGGUGCUACAGAAGGAUGCGGAGCAGGAGUCACAGAUGAGAGCGGAGAUCCAGGACAUGAAGCAGGAGCUCUCCACAGUCAACAUGAUGGAUGAGUUUGCCAGAUACGCCAGGCUGGAAAGAAAGAUCAACAAGAUGACGGAUAAGCUCAAAACCCACGUGAAAGCUCGGACAGCUCAAUUAGCCAAGAUAAAAUGGGUGAUAAGUGUCGCUUUCUACGUAUUGCAGGUAAGUGUGCUAGAGCGUCAGCCGGGUCAUUGGAGUUGGUGACCCCGGCCUCCAGAGCGGUGCUUGCAGAUCCAGGGCUGGGAGUUCGGGCUGUUCCACCUUCAGCUGUCGUGUCGUGUGUCCCUGCCCACACGGAGCUCUAAACACUUUCGUUCUAUAAGUCAGACUAAAAGGAAGCCUUUCUCUUGAGGAGAGUUGUAAAGUUUGGG